AAAAAGAGUUAUUUGACCAAAUUCCAACAGUUGGCUUUAUUAAGCCAUUGAGCAUUGACCAUCACAUUAACGUGUGACUUUAACAAUUGGGAGGAGACUCGAAUCUAACCACCUAAAAUUGAUCCCCGUAUCCGAAUUAGCCUAAAAAGUGAAUCGGGUGAAACACCAAAAAAAACACUUUAACGUGACUUUGCCCAGUUGCCCCCCCCCCCCCCUCUUUUGUCUUUGUCUCCAUUUUCUCGCGUUUCCCUCCAAUUCUGAGCAUUAGAAAUACAAUUCAUUUCCUCAUUUAAGAAAAAUUUUAAUCAACAAAAACUACCUCUUUAAGGAAAUUUAAACAUAAAUUAAAGGCAAGGGAUAAUGGAUAAGAUUUGAACCCGUAAUUUUCUUGCCAUGCUGGCUCUUAAGUCUCAUAUUAUAAUAUAUUAUCAAUUAUUUAUUUUUAGAGUAAAAAUGGUGGGCUAGCCGUUUGGGAACCAGCAGGAGCUCAAAAAUGGUUGGAGGUGAGUUUAUUGAGUAUUUACAUUGUUAAAUUAUUUUUCUAUCAUUAUAAAUGAACUUAUUGGUAUAAAUUUAUCUGUACAAUCUCUAGGUUCUUAACCCAACCGAAUUUUUUGAAGACGUUGUCAUUGAGUAUGAGUAUGUAGAAUGUACAGCUUCAGCAGUUCAAGCUUUAGUUUUGUUCAAACAGUUAUAUCCAGGACAUAGGAAGAAAGAGAUCGACAAUUUCAUCGUAAAUGCGGUCCAGUACAUUGAGAGAACCCAAUAUCCUAGUGGUGGAUGGUAUGUUAUGACUUCUAAUUAUGUACGAGUACCAUUUAUGGAGUAUGUAUUACAAAGUUUAAAAUUUUAUGACAGUCAUUCUUAAAAUAACUACAAUUAUAUUCUCCUCAAAAAAAAAAAAAAAAAAAAAAAA